GACGAACCGAGCGAACGUUGUUCGGAAUCACUGGGCUUAAAGGGCGCGUAGGCGGGUGCUCAAGUCCGGGGUGAAAUCCUCCAGCUCAACUGGAGAACUGCCUCGGAUACUGGGUGCCUCGAGUGUGGUAGGGGUGUGCGGAACUCAGGGUGGAGCGGUGAAAUGCGUAGAUAUCCUGAGGAACACCGGUGGCGAAAGCGGCGCGCUGGAUCCCUUCUGACGCUGAGGCGCGAAAGCCAGGGGAGCCAAAAGCGGG
rnacentral:rRNA from 1 species